rnacentral:tRNA from 1 species
GUCCUUGUAGCGCAGUGGAUAGCGUGUUGGACUUCUAAUCCAAAGGUCCCGGGUUCGAAUUCCGGCAAGGAAUUCG